rnacentral:rRNA from 1 species
GCAUAUCAAUAAGCGGAGGAAAAGAAACCAACAGGGAUUGCCCUAGUAACGGCGAGUGAAGCGGCAACAGCUCAAAUUUGAAAUCUGGCGUCUUCGGCGUCCGAGUUGUAAUUUGCAGAGGGCGCUUUGGCAUUGGCAGCGGUCCAAGUUCCUUGGAACAGGACGUCACAGAGGGUGAGAAUCCCGUACGUGGUCGCUAGCCUUUACCGUGUAAAGCCCCUUCGACGAGUCGAGUUGUUUGGGAAUGCAGCUCUAAAUGGGAGGUAAAUUUCUUCUAAAGCUAAAUACUGGCCAGAGACCGAUAGCGCACAAGUAGAGUGAUCGAAAGAUGAAAAGCACUUUGGAAAGAGAGUUAAAAAGCACGUGAAAUUGUUGAAAGGGAAGCGCUUGCAGCCAGACUUGCCUGUAGUUGCUCAUCCGGGUUUCUACCCGGUGCACUCUUCUAUAGGCAGGCCAGCAUCAGUUUGGGCGGUUGGAUAAAGGUCUCUGUCAUGUACCUCCUUUCGGGGAGAACUUAUAGGGGAGACGACAUGCAACCAGCCCGGACUGAGGUCCGCGCAUCUGCUAGGAUGCUGGCGUAAUGGCUGUAAGCGGCCCGUCUUGAAACACGGACCAAGGAGUCUAACAUCUAUGCGAGUGUUUGGGUGUCAAGCCCGAACGCGUAAUGAAAGUGAACGGAGGUGGGAACCUUUCGGGGUGCACCAUCGACCGAUCCUGAUGUCUUCGGAUGGAUUUGAGUAAGAGCAUAGCUGUUGGGACCCGAAAGAUGGUGAACUAUGCUUGAAUAGGGUGAAGCCAGAGGAAACUCUGGUGGAGGCUCGCAGCGGUUCUGACGUGCAAAUCGAUCGUCAAAUUUGGGCAUAGGGGCGAAAGACUAAUCGAACUAUCUAGUAGCUGGUUCUGCCGA